AGGGGCUGGCGGGAAUGCGGCGCGCUCUGGCAAGAUGGCGUCGGCGAGGUCGCGGGGUGCGCGGUGAGCGCCGGCCGCCGUCGCUCCGCCCGGCCGGUCGCGCCUCAGGUCCGCCCGCCCGCGCGCGCCCCGCGGGCCCAUGGCGGCGACAGGUGCGGGCGCGCGGCGGCUUGCCGGGCUGCCGCGGGCCGGGCGCGCCCCUCGCUAACGCGCGCGUAACUUUUCCUCGCUGCGGCCCCCCGCGGCCUCCGCGCCACGCCCCCCGGGCCGCCGCCCCGCCGAGGUGCCGUCUGCCGGCCGCCGCGGGAGCGAGGAGCGCUGGGCGGCGCGGCUCCACCAUGGCUCUGACCCUGUUCGAUACAGAUGAAUAUAGACCUCCUGUUUGGAAAUCUUACUUAUACCAGCUGCAGCAGGAAGCCCCUCACCCUCGAAGGGUCACCUGCACUUGUGAGGUAGAAAACAGACCAAAGUAUUAUGGAAGAGAGUAUCAUGGCAUGAUCUCUAGAGAAGAGACUGACCAGCUCCUGAGUGUGGCUGAGGGGAGCUACCUCAUCCGUGAGAGCCAGCGGCAGCCAGGAACGUACACUUUGGCUUUAAGAUUUGGAAGUCAGACCAGAAACUUCAGGCUGUACUACGAUGGAAAGCACUUUGUUGGGGAGAAACGCUUUGAGUCCAUCCACGAUCUGGUGACUGAUGGCUUGAUUACUCUCUAUAUUGAAACCAAGGCAGCAGAAUACAUUGCCAAGAUGACGAUAAACCCAAUUUAUGAGCACAUAGGAUACACAACCUUAAACAGAGAGCCAGCAUACAAACAGCACAUGGCAGUCCUGAAAGAGACACAUGAUGAGAAAGAGGCUACAGGCCAGGAUGGGGUAUCAGAGAAAAGGUUGACAUCACUUGUUAGAAGAGCAACUCUGAAAGAAAAUGAACAAAUUCCAAAAUAUGAAAAGGUUCACAAUUUCAAGUACCAUGCUGGAGGACUGAGUCAUCAGAGCCACCCAAAGGAGCAAGCUGCAGCUGAAAUGCCAUUGUCACCUUCGCCAGAAACCCUCACUGCCCUAAUGUUCUUGUCACUUCUACUGGUUUACAAGGCCAUUUGCCUGAGAGGGAUAAUGAGGAUGCUGCUGCAGUGUUCUUGUCUUCUUUAUCUUCUGGUGGGGUGGCCUUCUUGUUUGCUAUUUCCAUUACUGUAUUUAAAGUGGAGUUGUAAAUCUUCUGAUCAUGGUAAGAAGCAGGCAGCAGGUAUGUUAAUUACAGCACCCCCCCCACUGAGGAUGAUCUCACUGACUUCCAAAGUCCUUGCCUGGGAGACAUGUGACACUGGCCUUUGCCUCUUUUUUUUUUUUUUUUUUUUUUUUUUUUUUUUUGCUUACGAGAAAGGUAUAGCCCUGGCUGUCCUGGAACUCACUUUGUAGACCAGGCUGGCCUCGAAUUCAGAAAUCCGCCUGCCUCUGCUUCCCGAGUGCUGGGAUUAAAGGUGUGCGCCAUCACCGCCUGGCUGGCCUUUGCCUCUUAACACACCUCCCAUGUCACACCCUCUGUGCUCUUUUCAGCCUGGCUUUGGCUAGUGCCUUCAAUGGUAAGGCUCUAUUGGGGUUCACUAGUUAGAUGCAUCUUACUGUUUAAACAGAGCAGCUAAUAUGAAAGGAGUUGUUCAAAUCGUACAUGCCAUGAUAAUAACGCUGUCCUUUUUUUCCCCAGGUGCAAAAGAGAAAAGGGCUUUAAAGCUAACGGACCAUGCAAUUUGGGUGCAUACGUUCCGAGGGCCACACUGGUGUGAAUACUGUGCCAACUUCAUGUGGGGCCUCAUUGCUCAGGGAGUGAAAUGUGCAGAUUGUGGGUUGAAUGUUCACAAGCAGUGUUCCAAGAUGGUCCCCAAUGACUGUAAGCCAGAUCUGAAGCACGUGAAGAAGGUGUACAGCUGUGACCUGACAACGCUCGUGAAAGCUCACAUCACCAAGCGGCCAAUGGUGGUAGACAUGUGCAUCAGGGAGAUCGAGUCCAGAGGUCUUAAUUCUGAAGGACUCUACCGAGUGUCAGGAUUUAGUGACCUGAUUGAAGAUGUCAAGAUGGCUUUUGAUAGAGAUGGUGAGAAGGCGGAUAUUUCUGUGAACAUGUAUGAGGACAUCAACAUUAUCACUGGUGCACUUAAACUGUACUUCAGGGAUCUGCCAAUUCCUCUCAUCACAUACGAUGCCUACCCCAAGUUCAUUGAGUCUGCCAAAAUUAUGGACCCUGACGAGCAAUUGGAGACCCUUCACGAAGCACUGAGAUCGCUGCCGCCUGCCCACUGCGAGACGCUCCGGUACCUCAUGGCGCAUCUCAAGAGAGUGACCCUUCAUGAGAAGGAGAAUCUGAUGAGUGCAGAGAACCUUGGGAUCGUGUUUGGACCAACCCUCAUGAGAUCCCCAGAGCUCGACCCCAUGGCCGCCCUGAACGACAUACGCUAUCAGAGACUGGUGGUGGAGCUGCUUAUCAAAAACGAAGACAUUUUAUUUUAGAGUUUUGAUUUGAGGAGAAGAAAAAUGGUUUACAGAUGAAGGAAUGUUUUCUAGUAAUUUAAUUAGCUUCAUUAGCUGAAUUGUUUCUUCGUUAGAGGUUUGGCCAAAUACCCAGAUUAAAAUGAAGGAACUUCCUGUCAUUUCUAUAGCACCGCUCAGCUGUCCUUGUAAAACAGUGCACACACGCUUUCUGGUCCCGGUAACCCUGGGUGUCUAUCAUGUUAAGAGAAACUCAAGCUACUGCAUGAUUACCCCUUUUUGGUGAGGAAACCCCACAUUGAGGAAUCACAGACUUGUGCCUGCACCACCUCUGUCCUGGGUUGUCUGUGGUUGUCACCCAGCAUGCUUCCCAGAGUAAACUGUCAUGACUUUGCUUUUGGGGUCCAUGCCAUUGGUUUCUGAUGCUUGCACACACACACACAUAAGCAGUGCCCUGGCUGUUACAUCACCAUCCCCAUACCAUAUGCCAACUCCACAACGGUUCCUUUCCAGCUUCUUCCUCCUCCUCUGACAUAGCGCUUUGUCCUCAGCAGAAGCCAGAUGUGUUUUAGAUCUUACUUCAGUACGCUACCAAUAAAAAUGCACCACACAACAUUUUCUGUUAAAUUAUUGGUUUUCAACUGUAAAUUUAUAUUUUUACCUGGCAUGCAGUUAUUAAUUUAUUAAAUUUGGCUUUUAGAAAUCAAAAACACUAAUAGCUUUUUUUCUUGCUGUGGGACGAAUAGCUAGAAAACUAUGUUUGGCAUUUAUUUAACAUCAAUUACUUCUCUAGCCUGACAUUAAAAUAUUGUGGUAAUGUCCUAAAAUAACUUAAGCUGCCUAAAAUUGACAUUCAUUCAUUGGGCUUAUUUUUUCUCCUAUUGCUCUGGGAGAAAUUAACAUUUUCUCCACUUUGGGGUCAGUUUUCCUCUAGCUUCAUGUGAGGAGUGCUAACUGCUUGGGCUCUGCACACCUGCCAGGCUUGUCUGGAACAGCCAGGGUCAUGUGUGGGAUGCCAUGACACACGGGUGAGAGGCGUUACAAGGCAGCUCGUCAGGCAGAGAGCCCAAGGUCUGCGUUUGGGACUGCCACCUGUCAGCCAUGUGACUUUGAGCAGAAGCCUAUUUUGUUCUGUCUCUUGGACUGUUAGAUGAGCCCGCCCCUGGAACUGAAGUUCCAUCCUGCUGUAAACAAUAAAACAAAACGUGUGUGGUUUUAGGUUUCCAGUAAUAAAAGUGCUGUAAUCCCAGCACUGGGGAGGAAGAAUCAGGACGAUGGAGCUCAGGGCCAGCCUAGGGUACAGAGAUUCUGUCUCAAGCAAACGCUCAGUGGAACGGCCAAGCACAGUAGUAUAAUAUGGUCCUAACUACUGAAGGAGAAAGAGCACUUGAAUCCAAGGGUUCAAGACCAACCCAGGCAACUUCAGGAAAGUGGCUCAAAAUAAAAGGUGAAGAUGAAAUAAAUUUCUGAGCUCUAAAGCCUGCCUCAAAACAGUGGGAAGUUAUGGAAAUACAGAACAUGUCUAACUCCACUUUCCAGGCUGUAGUGGGCAGCUGGUAAGUGGUGGGUUUGCUUUCUCACUGUUUACAUUGAAGGAAAGUAUUGAUAUUCAGGGAUACUCCAUCUAGCUGUCGUCUUAACCAAUGUCCUGUGAAAAGUUUCACCACACUAAGAAUCAAACAGAAUGCACAGAUUGACUAAGUACAGAGAUUUGGCUUAAUAAAUCAUCUUCAAAAGUAGAAACAAGUCACGGGGCGGGAGUCAGCUCAGUAGUAGAGAGCCUGCCUAAUAUGUGCAAAGGAUUUAAACAACCACACUGGAAAAAAAAAAUAUUAAGCCAAAUUACAGCCGUGAAGUUCAUCCGCAUUUAAGCACACAGCUGAUAGAUCAGGGCCUGUUGUGGUUGUGGUGGUUGUUGGUACUAGUACUACUAAUACUACUAAAAGGAGGGCGAGAAGGGACAGAAGAGAAAAAGAAAGAAAGUUAUACUGUCAAGCAUCCGCCAGAGUUAAGAAGCUUUCGGGUUUGGAGACAGGAUCUCGCUCUGUACCCAGUCUGGCAUAGGACUUACUAUGUAGCAGGUAAGAUUCAAACUUCUCAGUGUUGGGGUUACAUGCCAGACCUCAAAAUACCUUUUUAUUAUCCUAAACUAUCAGAUUAAUUUUUGGAGUUAAAUGAAUCAUAAUUUAAAUAAGGCACACUAUAUUACAUGUGGUUGCCAUGGCUUAAUGUAUGGACGGAUCCUCCACUGUCUUGCAAUUCAUUUGUUGAAAAAUACCAAUACUGAUUUGGAAUUUUCCCAAUUAUUGCAUUUGCCAAUUAUAUCCUGUGUGUCAUUUGA